rnacentral:rRNA from 1 species
GACGGAGGGUGCAAGCGUUGUUCGGAUUGACUGGGCGUAAAGGGCGCGUAGGCGGCUUGGCAAGUGGAUGGUGAAAUCCCUCGGCUUAACCGAGGAACUGCCGUCCAAAUUGCUUCGCUUGAGACCGGGAGAGGUGAGUGGAAUUCCUGGUGUAGCGGUGAAAUGCGCAGAUAUCAGGAGGAACACCAAUGGCGAAGGCAGCACUCUGGGGACGGUACUGACGCUGAGACGCGAAAAGCGUGGGGAGCAAACAGG